GGGGCGAAGAAGUAUUUCGGUAUGUAAAGCUCUAUCAGCAGGGAAGAAAGACUCGUAAGAGAGAUGACGGUACCUGACUAAGAAGCCCCGGCUAACUACGUGCCAGCAGCCGCGGUAAUACGUAGGGGGCAAGCGUUAUCCGGAUUUACUGGGUGUAAAGGGAGCGCAGACGGUYAWGCAAGUCUGAAGUGAAACCCCACGGCUCAACCGUGGGCUUGCUUUGGAAACUGUUUGACUAGAGUACUGGAGAGGUAAGCGGAAUUCCUAGUGUAGCGGUGAAAUGCGUAGAUAUUAGGAGGAACAUCGGUGGCGAAGGCGGCUUACUGGACAGCAACUGACGUUGAGGCUCGAAGGCGUGGGGAGCAAACAGGAUUAGAUACCCUGGUAGUCCACGCGGUAAACGAUGAAUACUAGGUGUUGG
rnacentral:rRNA from 1 species